CUGCGAAUGGCUCAUUAAAUCAGUUAUCGUUUAUUUGAUAGUACCUUACUACUUGGAUAACCGUGGUAAUUCUAGAGCUAAUACAUGCUGAAAACCCCAACUUCGGGAGGGGUGUAUUUAUUAGAUAAAAAACCAACGCCCUUCGGGGCUUCUUGGUGAUUCAUGAUAACUUUACGGAUCGCAUGGCCUUGCGCCGGCGACGGUUCAUUCAAAUUUCUGCCCUAUCAACUUUCGAUGGUAAGGUAUUGGCUUACCAUGGUUUCAACGGGUAACGGGGAAUUAGGGUUCGAUUCCGGAGAGGGAGCCUGAGAAACGGCUACCACAUCCAAGGAAGGCAGCAGGCGCGCAAAUUACCCAAUCCCGACACGGGGAGGUAGUGACAAUAAAUACUGAUACAGGGCUCUUUUGGGUCUUGUAAUUGGAAUGAGUACAAUUUAAACCUCUUAACGAGGAACAAUUGGAGGGCAAGUCUGGUGCCAGCAGCCGCGGUAAUUCCAGCUCCAAUAGCGUAUAUUAAAGUUGUUGCAGUUAAAAAGCUCGUAGUUGAACCUUGGGUCUGGCUGGCAGGUCCGCCUCACCGCGUGUACUUGUCCGGCCGGGCCUUCCUUCUGGAGAACCUCAUGCCCUUCACUGGGCGUGUUGGGGACCAGGACUUUUACUUUGAAAAAAUUAGAGUGUUCAAAGCAGGCCUUUGCUCGAAUACGUUAGCAUGGAAUAAUAGAAUAGGACGUGCGGUCCUAUUUUGUUGGUUUCUAGGACCGCCGUAAUGAUUAAUAGGGACAGUCGGGGGCAUCAGUAUUCAAUUGUCAGAGGUGAAAUUCUUGGAUUUAUUGAAGACUAACUACUGCGAAAGCAUUUGCCAAGGAUGUUUUCAUUAAUCAGUGAACGAAAGUUAGGGGAUCGAAGACGAUCAGAUACCGUCGUAGUCUUAACCGUAAACUAUGCCGACUAGGGAUCGGGCGAUGUUCUUUUUCUGACUCGCUCGGCACCUUACGAGAAAUCAAAGUUUUUGGGUUCUGGGGGGAGUAUGGUCGCAAGGCUGAAACUUAAGG
rnacentral:rRNA from 1 species